GCCACGGUGGUCUAACGGUUAGAACGUUGGACUUGUAAUCCUGGGGUCUCGGGUUCGAUUCC
rnacentral:tRNA from 1 species